AACGUAGGAGGCAAGCGUUAUCCGGAUUUACUGGGCGUAAAGCGUGCGCAGGCGGCGCGUUAAGACAGGUGUGAAAGCCCCGAGCUUAACUUGGGAAUUGCGCUUGUGACUGGCGUGCUGGAGUGUGGCAGAGGGAGGUGGAAUUCCACGUGUAGCAGUGAAAUGCGUAGAGAUGUGGAGGAACACCGAUGGCGAAGGCAGCCUCCUGGGCCAGCACUGACGCUCAUGCACGAAAGCGUGGGGAGCAAACAGG
rnacentral:rRNA from 1 species